CACUACUUUUUGUCCCAAGAACAACUAGCCUAUUGAGAGUGAGACCCUAUAUAUAGGUUUGGUUUGCAAAGAAAAAAAAAGAAAGUUUUGAGAUUUGAGAUGAUGGUGAAAAGAGAAGCUUUAGUCACUGCUUUCUUAUGGCUCUUACUUGUGACAUUAGUAGUAGUUGUAUAUGCAAAUGAUGAAGGGAAUACCAAAAUUCACCCACCAAAGUCUAACCAUAUGGUCUAUUAUCCUCAAGGUUGUAGGUGUUGCUGGUUCAUUUGGAAGCCAAUGAUCCAAUGUGGAAAAGCAUGCUGUGAAGAUGGAUGUUGCCCUUAAGCAUAUAUAGAAGAAGAGUUUCAAGUGUACCGGAAAUAUCAAUAUUUCAAUUGUUUUAACUGUUUAUCUGAAUUAUAAAAAAUAUAUAUAAUAUAUAUAAAUUAAAAUCAACGGUUAAAACAAUUGAAACACUGGUAUUUUUCGGUACACUUAAAAUUUUUCCUAUAAUAUAUCACAAGGUUGAAGGUUGAAGGUUGAGGCAGACUCUAUAUAUGUACUUCUCUUUAUUUGGUGAAUAUAAUAUAUGCUGGAAGCAAACAAAACUAUUUUGAUAAUUUCCCUGAAUAAAACUAUAGUGUGCUAUGGAUAA